rnacentral:tRNA from 1 species
GCCCCCGUAGCUCAAUGGAUAGAGCCGCGGACUUCUAAGCCGUUGAUGUAGGUUCGAUUCCUACCGGGGGCACCA